rnacentral:rRNA from 1 species
UACGGAGGGUGCAAGCGUUAUCCGGAUUUACUGGGUUUAAAGGGUGCGCAGGCGGAUAUGUAAGUCAGUGGUGAAAUCUCUAGGCUUAACCUGGAAAUUGCCGUUGAUACUAUAUAUCUUGAAUGCUGUGGAGGUAAGCGGAAUAUGUCAUGUAGCGGUGAAAUGCGCAGAUAUCAGGAAGAACACCCGUGGCGAAGGCGGCUCUCUGGGACGGUACUGACGCUGAGACGCGAAAGCGUGGGGAGCGAACAGG